AGACACUAUGAAAUCCAUAAACACAACAAUUUGGAAUCUUCGUUCUUCCAAGAACACCUUCAAGAUACGGCAUUUAUUGUCAGGGAUGAACCUUUGGUGAAUACAGGAUCUGAGAUCCUAUGUAUUCUAAACAGCUUCCAGAUUCUGUCUACAAGAUCUUCAAACAUGUCCUUACACAAAUGGCCUUUUGUAACUGGAACUUUGGAAAUGAGGAAAAUAUAGUAGUAAGGUAGAGUAAGAGGUAGGAAACCUGGAUGCCCAGCCGACUUUGCUUGUACCUUAUCUCUGUUCAUCUCUUCUGCUAUCCAUAGGUAUAAAUCACAGAAAUGUACAUGGUUACCUAC